AUAAAAGCAAUGAAAAAGAGGAGUAGAAACUGAAAAUAUUAAAGGAAACUAGCUUACAUAAGCAUAGGAGUAUGGUUCUUUUUUAUUAGUAAUAUACGAUAAAAAAGAACAAGUAAGAGAGAGGGAAUAGGUGAAAGCCCUUAUAUGGAAAGUUUUGAAGGUAGCUUUUGAGCUUCUUUAGUGAAAUAAGAGUAGCUAAGGACGGUUUGUCUAAAUCGUUAAUUAAUUAAGAGUCCAUUAAAAACAUUAAAUUAUGUUUGCGUGGAAAUAAAGGUGGUACCGCGAGUCUUCGUCCUUUUU
rnacentral:ncRNA from 1 species